UGCCAGCCGCCGCGGUAAUACGGAGGGUGCGAGCGUUAAUCGGAAUUACUGGGCGUAAAGCGCGCGUAGGUGGUUUGUUAAGUCGGAUGUGAAAGCCCUGGGCUCAACCUGGGAAUUGCAUUCGAUACUGGCUAACUAGAGUGCGAGAGAGGGAGGUAGAAUUCCACGUGUAGCGGUGAAAUGCGUAGAUAUGUGGAGGAAUACCGGUGGCGAAGGCGGCCUCCUAGACUGAUAUUGACGCUGAGGUGCGAAAGCGUGGGGAGCAAACAGGAUUAGAUA
rnacentral:rRNA from 1 species